rnacentral:rRNA from 1 species
AGUAGACAGAAGCCUCGGUGGAAGAUUACUAAUGAGAGUGGCGAACGGGUGAGUAACGCGUGAGCAACCUGCCUAUGACAGUGGGAUAGCCUCGGGAAACCGGGAUUAAUACCGCAUAAAAUCGUAGUAACACAUGUUUUAACGGUCAAAGAUUUAUCGGUCAUAGAUGGGCUCGCGUCUGAUUAGCUAGUUGGUGAGAUAACAGCCCACCAAGGCGACGAUCAGUAGCCGGUCUGAGAGGAUGAACGGCCACAUUGGAACUGAGACACGGUCCAAACUCCUACGGGAGGCAGCAGUGGGGAAUAUUGCACAAUGGGGGAAACCCUGAUGCAGCGACGCCGCGUGAACGAAGAAGGUAUUCGUAUCGUAAAGUUCUGUCCUAUGGGAAGAUAAUGACAGUACCAUAGAAGAAAGCUCCGGCUAAAUACGUGCCAGCAGCCGCGGUAAUACGUAUGGAGCGAGCGUUGUCCGGAAUUAUUGGGCGUAAAGGGUACGCAGGCGGUUUAAUAAGUCGAAUGUUAAAGAUCGGGGCUCAACCCCGUAAAGCAUUGGAAACUGAUAAACUUGAGUAGUGGAGAGGAAAGUGGAAUUCCUAGUGUAGUGGUGAAAUACGUAGAUAUUAGGAGGAAUACCAGUAGCGAAGGCGACUUUCUGGACACAAACUGACGCUGAGGUACGAAAGCGUGGGGAGCAAACAGGAUUAGAUACCCUGGUAGUCCACGCCGUAAA